rnacentral:rRNA from 1 species
GGCUCCAACCGGGGAGGGUCAUUCGGAAACUGGGAGACUUGAGUGCAGAAGAGGAGAGUGGAAUUCCAUGUGUAGCGGUGAAAUGCGUAGAUAUAUGGAGGAACACCAGUGGCGAAGGCGGCUCUCUGGUCUGUAACUGACGCUGAGGCUCGAAAGCGUGGGGAGCAAACAGGAUUAGAUACCCUGGUAGUCCACGCCGUAAACGAUGAGUGCUAAGUGUUGGAGGGUUUCCGCCCUUCAAUGCUGCAGCAUACGCAUUAAGCACUCCCCCUGGGGAGUACGACCGCAAGGUUGAAACUCAAAGGAAUUGACGGGGGCCCGCACAAGCGGUGGAGCAUGUGGUUUAAUUCUAAGCAGCGCAAACAACCUUACUCAGUCUUGACAUCCUUUGACCACUCUGCACAUUUAACUCUCCCUUCAUCCAGACAAUGAUAGGU